ACCUUCACCCGCCCUCGGCCUGCAGCCGGGGCAGCCCGUUACAGCGCAGUGGGAGGACGAGCCCCCGGUCGGCAGUGGGACUGCGGCGCCCCGCGGCGGUCCCCGCCGCUGCCCCGUUCGGCUGCCGACACAACAGGUGCUGCGGGGAUUGAAAACAAGUUUCCUCCGAAAAAUGUGGACCUAAUGUCUCAAUCUGUAUGCGUGAACACAACAUUUUUGAUAGCUUUGGAAGCUUUAGGCUGCAUCAGACCAGCAUUUCAGCUGCCAUCCUGGCUCUGUCAUUUCAAAGGAAAAUGCAAGAACUCCCAUAGUGGGUGAAUAUGGAAUAACACUGAAGAGGAAGCUUUAUGUUUUAAACCUCCUGUAAUUAACGAUCAGGGUACAUGUUUGAUCAUUAAGACCCUACAUCUUUUCCAAAAUGCUUGUGUUGUUAAUCCCACCCAAAAUGCUUUGUGGUGAUCCUUAUAAAUGUCCAGUCUUUCCCAAAAUUCACGCUGAGCAUCUGUCAUCAGCUACUUAUGUUUACUAUAAUUUUUUUUCUUUCCAGUUUCAUUGAAUGUAUUUAUUUGUUUCCAUUAUAGAAAUGAGUAAAUAGAAAUGAUUUCACUUUUCCAUUCAUUUUCUGUGUUAAAGACUUAUCGUUUCCCAGCUAGGCAUUUUUUUUACUCUUUUUUUUCUGUCUGAUUCUCUCUGUAUUUCUAUGCUUUUCAGACUCCUAUCUUAUUUUGUUACAUUGUGUUCAGGUAGGACAAUCAGAAAACAAUAUUCCAAGUGAAGGCCUAAUCUUAAUACAUGUGGCUGCAACAGAGUAUUUUAUUAUAUGCAGUAUUUCUCAUGCACACUUUUGUCUUUUUAUUGGAUCUACUUGUGCAACAAUCUGCAGAAGUAUUGUCAGACUCUCUGAAUGGCUGGAUACUUAUCCCAGACCAACAGAUGUAUACUUUGGGUCAUUCCAUGUCAGCUCACAGAACAUUGCUUUACCAGCACCGAGUUUCACAUAGGACCGUGGUGCCAUUCCAUCCAAGAGUUACAGUGACUCCAGCACCCAGCAAAAAUGUUUAUGGAUUUCAUCAUGAGUCGUCCUGCUUCCCUUUGGUGCUUGCUUUCUUUUCUUCAUCUACAAUAAAUACCUUAUACAAAUCUUUCUAUCCUUGACUUUUCUCCAUGUUGAGGAUUACACUUCAGUCUUUGACUUUUGUAUCAUGGUUGGUUAUGAUGCUACACCACAUCUGAAAGCCAGUUAGCUUAUACUAUGGAGUCUUUUUCAUUGUGCAUUGGGGACUUACUUUAAUUUUCAAAGGUUUUGUAAUACAGUCCAUAAAAUUGUAUACUGUGUAUUUUUUAAUUUAAAUAUUGCAACAGACAACUCUUCAUUAAUUUCCAUCUUCAAAUAGUUUGAAACACCAAUUUUUCUCUGUAGAAUAGUCACAAUGCUUUGCCAAUCUUUCAAACUGUUUUAUAGUUGCUGUUUUUCCAGCAUCCUCAUUUGUAACUUUUCUAAGUGAGUUUUCUUGUUCUCGAAUUUGUAGUUAUCUGGAUUGUCCCACAGGAAUUUAUUUUGCACCAAGUUCAGGAAUAGUGCUGUUGAGACCUAGCCACCAAAGAAGACAAUGGAAAUUCAGCCUGUUAGGGUUCCAGAGACUGAUUGUGAUGGUGUGUAGUCUUUCUAUUUCUGAACCAUAAAAUUGUU
rnacentral:lncRNA from 7 species